rnacentral:tRNA from 1 species
GAGGUUCUGGCUCAAUGGUAGAGUGCUUGCCUAGCAUGCAUGUGGCAGGGGGUUCAGUCCCAGAACCACA